GGGUCAUUUGGUUGGUCGUGCCACCGGUACGUACUGGUCUCACUGAUUCCUCCUUCCUGAAGAACCGUAAUGCCAUUAAUUUGGUGUUGCGGGGAAACAGGACUGUUACUUUGAAAAAAUUAGAGUGUUUAAAGCAAGCUAACGCUUGAAUACAUCAGCAUGGAAUAAUGAAAUAGGACGAUCGAUCCUAUUUUGUUGGUUUCUAGGAUUGACGUA
rnacentral:rRNA from 1 species